rnacentral:lncRNA from 1 species
UGGCAGUGCUUGUGUGUCGGAGCUCUGAGGCUCCGGCCUGACCUCUCCUCGGGGUCGACGGGAACGUCUCCGGAUGCCAGGACUCGCAAAGGGCUGACAAGAAUGAGGAAAUCCCAGGCGGAGUCCGGGGGAGGCAGCACGGCAUCCCAGCCUCAGGGCUGCCCGGACGGUGUUGGUUGGGGUAAGAUUGGGGAAGAUGCCAGGUGAUAGAAUCCACCCUGCCUCUGACAGCAUCCAAUCUGGAGCAAAGGCUUCUUUCAACCUUCCCCCAAGCUCCCAAUACAAGCCCAAAUUCUGGAACAAGUCCUUUCCAACACCUCCUUCAGAGAAGCUCCCUGGCUCCAGGCAGUGCUUGCUCCCCUCACUGCAGCAGGAAGCCUAACUUGCGAACUGCAGGUGUGCUCCAGGUGGUCACUGGAUGCAAGAAAUGGUGCGAGAACUUUGGAUGUGGAACGUGGAGGAGGAGGAACACGAAGUGGGGAUCUGCACUUGGGGUGGUCAGCACUGCGGAUGCCCAGCAAAGUCACUGCCUGGUCCACAUCCCGGAGGGGUCUCUGCGCCUCAGUCGGCAUCGCAGCUGAUGGUGAAACUUUUGGUGUGGCAGAAGAGUGUCCACAAACUUCGGAAGUUGCUAGAGAAAACUGAAAACUACUAGUUUUGAAAGCCUCACUUCUGCCAAUGGAAGCACAUUCCAGCAUGUCGCCAACGCAAUCCACUUUCCACCACUUUCACAAAAAACGUUACUGCACAAUUAUACUAUCCUACCCUUAUAUA